CCUGAUCUUAGAGGAAAUGCUUUCAGUUUUUCACCAUGGAGAACGAUGUUGGCUGUGGGUUUGUCAUAUAUGGUGUUUACUAUGUUGAGCUUUGUAAAUAUACUGAUUGGGCAGAAAUAAGAUGGCUGCCAGAACAAGGGAUAAAACGUGAACAAAGGGAAGGCCCUGAAGUGGGAGAUGUCUGACAUCCUGGCUGUUUACAGUUUAGCUGUGUGACCUUGGGAUCUGCAUCUUGAUUUCCUCAUCUUAAAACAAACAGUGUCACUAUUUGAGUGCUCAGUGAAGAAACACCUAACUCUUGGUGUUCAAAGUUAUUAAAUACUUUGAAGAAAAAAUAAAUAAGGCAUUAAGAGCUUUUGCAAAGGAGGUCUACUUUAAGGUUACAGUGAAAACAUUUCCAAGGGCUUGGAGACAUCAAGAGGAACAAACUGGAAUGAAGCGAGGCACGUGGGAUCUUAGCUCGCCGACCAGGGACCGAACCGCACCCCCUGCAUUGGAAGGCGAAGUCUUAACCACUGGACCACCAGGAAAGUCUCCAGAAUUAGUUUUUAUAGGUCUCCCUCACAAGGCUACAAGCUCAAGGAUGGCAGGGAACUCUGUACCUAGCAGAGUACUCUGCUCUUAGCAAGUGCUCUAUGUUUGUAAUUUUGUUGAAUUUAGUUGAAAUUCAGUAGGUCAUAUGGCAACAGU